GCAGUGGUUAUGGUGCUGGUAGUCUACUCUAAAGCAUUGUUAACAGAAAUUGCAAUCUGGACGUACUUCAAAAAAAAGGCACAUUUCAAGAAAAAGGUGCAUUUUCCAAUUCCUUUUCCAUAGUAACACCACGAAGACACAAAAUUCAACUUGCUCCAUACCGCACAAAUAUACCUACUGAUUCAUCUUAUUUUAACUCCCUG